GGCAAGGAUGAGAUAUCCAUGUAGUUGAUGUGUGGUUGGCCCCAAGUCCCUGUUCAAGGGAGAACAUACUUGGGGUCACUACAUUAAUUUAUGAAAUUACUGGAAAUCUCUGAGUC